ACCCAGAUAGCUCCGUGGCAGCCAGCUGGCAGGAAGCAUGGGGCUCCUUGACUGGCUCUCCUCUCUCGGUGAGGCUGCAGCCCCCUGACUGCUCCUGGAGCUCCGAGCGAAGACGCCCUGCCGACUGAGAGCAGUUGUUGGCUUGGGAAGUGCCUCACUUGGAAUGCCUUCAGGAGCAAAUGCAGCGUGAAUUUCCAUGGCAUUCUUAGCUCCUGAUAGUUGGAGCUGCCAGCAGUGGUGAUGGGCUUGGUGACUCCCUGUGAAUCCUCUGCUCUGUAACAUCUAUCCUUGCAAGCACAGCAGUAACUGCAGCACCAGUGUUCUUGACUCAUCAAAGGAAGCAAUCCUAGAAAGUGCCAAGUGCACUUUAAUUGUCUUUCAGUAACAGCCUAGCAGCUGGAGAAGGAAGCCUCAGCAGCAUUGCACAUCCAGAUGACCUCUGCAGCCCACCAGGAAGGGCUGUAGAGACUUCACAGGUUACAGAGCACAGCACAGGAACCUCUGUCAGCUGGGAUGGGAGACCACCGAGGAAUUUCAGGUGAGCUUAAAAAAGGAUGUCACAGGGAACAGCAUUAACCUCUCUGGGCUCUUCUGCACCACAACAGCACUAGUUCAAAACUGAAGAUCCAUGAGAUUCAGCGUGCAAAAAUAAGCUGACAGAGGCUUGAAAUGGGUUGUAUCUCCCUCGUAACAGCUGGUAGCCUGAACAGACACACAUUACUGCUCACUGGGAAGUUUGGAAACAUGCGGGCUUGUGUAUUGUGCUUUUCCAUAGGACCUCUGACCACCUAACAGAACUCAGAAGGGCUCCGGUGGAAGAUGUUAUAGCCUUGACCUGCUUCCACCAGGCUUCCUUGUGUCCCUCCUUGUGUCUCGGAUUUAAAAGGACUGUGUAUAAGACUGACGACGUCCGCACCAAAGUGAAGCUAUCUUUAAAUGCCUCCAAAGCUUGGAAACCCAAGGUUGCCCUAAGGUUAUCUGAGGAGACAAGGAGCUCGGAUCCAGCCAUAAAGAUGUGUCCAUAGGCAUUGCUAUCCAACAGACCUCAACUGCCUGUAUGGAUACACGGGAUGCAAAAGUAGAAUCCAUGUGGACAACACAUCUUGAACUACAAUUACCAUAUGAGCUUCCAUCAGCAUGCAGGAUCUCCAGAAGUGCUGUUCAUGUCAACACAGUUGGCCAAAGCAGAAAGCCUAUAGUUUGGGCCAGGAAAGACAGCGGCAUGACUAUCCUCAGCUGUCUGCAUUGGACAGAGACGGGAAUGUACAGCACGUGCUCAUCAGUGAGUUGCACAUUCACAGCAAACCACUUGGGUUUCUUUCUCCUGCUACUAAGGAGUUCCUAAUGCUGAAUUCUUCAUCACCUGAAGACUUUUUCUGUUCAGGAUGGAUGUGGUCCUCUCAUGCUUACGUGACACUUUUAUCUAUGCAAGCAUAUUCAAAAUAUACUGUAAAUGGUCCCCCAAAAGAAAGUGAAUGAUGAGUCCUUGAUCGAUUUGGACAAGUCGCUGCUUAGUGUAAGCCAUAAAGAAUGACUAUAAUGUCCUGACAACAUUGUGAACAUUUGGCUACAGGAGAUCAAGCUCAAAGACUGUGUGGGUGACUCUUAUCCCUAAAGAUCGUCACGGAGGAGUCAGAGCUUGUCUGAUGGUGCUGCUGAUCCCCAUUCAGCAACGCAUUUAAGCAUCUGUUUAUGGCUGUUACAGUCCUGUGGCCAUUCAUCCCGCAAACUGCAGGAGCUGCGGGGAAUCCUUGUUAUCCCAAGAGGACCUGCUGGAAGCUCUGCGUACUGUUUCUUCUCCUGUAUACUCAGUGCUGAUGAGCCUACUACAGUCGAUCUCUCUUCAGCCUGUGUUGAGUCCUGGGAAGUUUAGCCAAGCAAGAGGGAACUUCUUGGUGGGGAAAGUAAUGGAAAAGGAACAGAACCACACCAAAUCUGUUAAACUAGUCCCACAGCAUGAGUAUCUUUCCCAGAAAAAGAUUGGCACAGGGUGGAUUCCCCUCGUUCCACUUCUGUCUUCAUGCUUCUGAACCCGCCUACGUGGAGUCCAUGUGGGAGAAGAUUAUGUCACUUCUUCAGUCUCCUCGGGUCCUUUGGUGGGAUAGGAGCCUUCGUACUAAGUCUUUGUGGAGCUGCUCUGUGACCUACGUAAAGCCUGGGAAGUCUGAGGACUUUCUUGCAGAUGUGCUUGGGUCUGGAAACCGCUUCAGGAGCUCUGCUGGAAGGAGGGCGAGAUAGCUCCAUCCACUUUUGGUGAGGGGCUGGUGUAGUUUGGUUCAAGUCCCCUAGGCUAUGGUGGCUGACAACUGAGAAUCCAUUUCCUACAUAGUGAGAGAUCUCCCAGGCUUCCUGUAAACAGGGGCCGUAACAAAACAGGUUUUCAAAGAAAUCGGAGAAAUCAAGAAUCACCAUUGCCAGCGUAUAUUGUUGGAGGCUCAUGGAUUUGUCACCGCUGGAACAAGACCAGAGCACUUUGGGUUCACUUCCCAUCGGCUGGCAGUCUGAGGUCCCGAGGAACGGUUGUGCUUCUCUAAUCUGAUCAGUAAAACACAAGCCAGGGAAUUUCACUGUGUGGUUCCUGGGUAGAGUUCAAAAGCCUGUGUGUCAGCCUGUCUACAGGAGGAAAUGUCAUGCCACUUCGACUUAAAUACUUCAAAGGAGAAAGAACUUAGCCUGUCCCAUAGUGAAUUGUUGCAAUGGUUAACUGUCCUUGCUGCUAGAAGUGCCCCUUUUGCUUUUUAGCCUUUGGAAUCCAUCUUUUAAGAUUUUCUUCACGAUUUUGAGGAUUUGAGACCUGUUUUAAUUUUUAAUGAGCCUGGCAUUCUUCUAUAGUAGUAAGCUGCUGGGACAUGGGGCUACAAACAAACCAUUUAUAAUGCAAGGCCGGCAAUAAAAAGGAUAGAGUUAGAAGGCCUGAUACUGCCAAAUUUCCCAGUCCUUCCAACAGGAGAGGAUAACGACUGAGCCGUAUUGUUUUUCCUAGCAGAUGACCGAAGACAGCUUUCUGGAAGAUGAAUGCAUCCGGAUCAAAGGCACUCCUAUCUAGUGAAAUGAAACAGAUUGAAAUGCACUUAUCCAGAAAAUACUCUGCUAAGCUCCCCUCGGUCCCCACUGGGCCGGAGACGCCUCUCCCACCGACCUCUAAUCCCAGCGGCUCGCUGCGUCUACGGGCCCCGUGUGUGCAGCGAGGAGCUCGCGGGAGCCCAGCCCUGGGCACGGGAGGUUGCAGGGCUGCUGGAAGGGGAGCGGCAUUCCACGUCUGCCUCGGUCCACCCACGCAAACAGGAAGGGGGCCGUGCCAG